UGGAGGGAACUCUGAUCUAGCGACGCCGCGUGCAGGAAGAAGGUCUUCGGAUUGUAAACUGCUGUGGUAAGGGAAAAAUGCUAUGUAGAGUGGAAAGCUACAUAGAGGGAUGGUACCUUACUAGAAAGCCCCGGCUAACUACGUGCCAGCAGCCGCGGUAAUACGUAGGGGGCGAGCGUUACCCGGAAUCACUGGGCGUAAAGGGAGCGUAGGUGGCCUAACAUGUCAACUGUGAAAACCCGGAGCUCAACUCCGGACUUGCAGUUGAAACUGGUAGGCUUGAGGACGGUAGAGGAAGACGGAACUGCCAGUGUAGGGGUAAAAAUCCUUAGAUAUUGGCAGGAACGCCGGUGACGAAGGUGGUUUUCUGGGCCGGUUCUGACACUGAUGCUCGAAAGCCAGGGGAGCGAACGGGAUUAGAUACCCCGGUAGUCCUGGCCCUAAACGAUGUUCACUAGGUGUGGGGAGCGGAAAGCUCUCCGUGCUAAAGCUAACGCGAUAAGUGAACCGCCUGGGGAGUACGCCCGCAAGGGUG
rnacentral:rRNA from 1 species